GGAGAACAUUUUCAACAAUUCUCAGGUUUUAAUACUUUUGAAUUUGGAGUUGGUGAGAGUACUUCACGUCAGAUCUUACAAUCUUCAUGUUCUAAUCCUUCUUCAGGAGGUCAUUUUGAUUCAAGGGAUUACAAGUCAAUCAGGAAAGCUCUUAUUGAAAAAGUUGGGUGGCAAGAGGAUGCCAUAUGUUCUAUUAGUCAAGCCAUAACUCGUUGCAAAGCAGGAUAUGGAAGACGCCGGGGCUCAACUGCGAGAGGAGAUAUUUGGCUUAGUUUCAUUGGACCUGACAAAGUUGGAAAGAAAAGAAUUGCUUCCACGCUUGCUGAGAUAAUUUUUGGUAGCCAAGAAAACCUAGUCUCCGUUGAUUUGAGCUUCCAUGGUGGGGUUAGGCCAUCAAACUCUGUCUUUGAAUGCCAAGAGUUUAAUGACUACGAUGUGAAAUUUAGGGG
rnacentral:misc_RNA from 1 species